rnacentral:rRNA from 1 species
AUGAACGCUAGCUACAGGCUUAACACAUGCAAGUCGAGGGGCAGCAUGAACUUAGCUUGCUAAGUUUGAUGGCGACCGGCGCACGGGUGAGUAACACGUAUCCAACCUGCCGAUGACUCGGGGAUAGCCUUUCGAAAGAAAGAUUAAUACCCGAUGGCAUAGUUCUUCCGCAUGGUAGAACUAUUAAAGAAUUUCGGUCAUCGAUGGGGAUGCGUUCCAUUAGGUUGUUGGCGGGGUAACGGCCCACCAAGCCUUCGAUGGAUAGGGGUUCUGAGAGGAAGGUCCCCCACAUUGGAACUGAGACACGGUCCAAACUCCUACGGGAGGCAGCAGUGAGGAAUAUUGGUCAAUGGACGAGAGUCUGAACCAGCCAAGUAGCGUGAAGGAUGACUGCCCUAUGGGUUGUAAACUUCUUUUAUACGGGAAUAAAGUGAGGCACGUGUGCCUUUUUGUAUGUACCGUAUGAAUAAGGAUCGGCUAACUCCGUGCCAGCAGCCGCGGUAAUACGGAGGAUCCGAGCGUUAUCCGGAUUUAUUGGGUUUAAAGGGAGCGUAGGCGGACGCUUAAGUCAGUUGUGAAAGUUUGCGGCUCAACCGUAAAAUUGCAGUUGAUACUGGGUGUCUUGAGUACAGUAGAGGCAGGCGGAAUUCGUGGUGUAGCGGUGAAAUGCUUAGAUAUCACGAAGAACUCCGAUUGCGAAGGCAGCUUGCUGGACUGUAACUGACGCUGAUGCUCGAAAGUGUGGGUAUCAAACAGGAUUAGAUACCCUGGUAGUCCACACAGUAAACGAUGAAUACUCGCUGUUUGCGAUAUACAGUAAGCGGCCAAGCGAAAGCGUUAAGUAUUCCACCUGGGGAGUACGCCGGCAACGGUGAAACUCAAAGGAAUUGACGGGGGCCCGCACAAGCAGUGGAGUAUGUGGUUUAAUUCGAAGCAACGCGAAGAACCUUACCAGGGCUUGACAUAUAAGUGAAUAAUUAAGAGAUUAAUUAGUUCUUCGGAACACUUAUACAGGUGGUGCAUGGUUGUCGUCAGCUCGUGUCGUGAGAUGUUGGGUUAAGUCCCGCAACGAGCGCAACCCUUAUCCUUUGUUGCCAGCGGUCCGGCCGGGAACUCAAAGGAGACUGCCAGUGAUAAACUGGAGGAAGGUGGGGAUGACGUCAAAUCAUCAUGCCCCUUAUGACCUGGGCUACACACGUACUACAAUGGACAUUAACAGAGGGAAGCAAUACAGCGAUGUGGAGCAAACCCCUAAAAAUGUUCUCAGUUCAGAUUGCAGGCUGCAACCCGCCUGUAUGAAGAUGGAAUUGCUAGUAAUCGCAGAUCAGCAUGCUGCGGUGAAUACGUUCCCGGGCCUUGUACACACCGCCCGUCACACCAUGAGAGUUGGGGAUACCCGAAGCCUGUGAGCCAACAGUUUACUGAGGCAGCAGUCGAAGGUAGAAUCAAUGAUUGGGGUG